GCCAAACGAAACCCACAACUCAAAGAGAAUUACAAGGAUAUGAAAUCAUGCAUAUAAGAGAUCAGAAGAAACUCAAAUAAGAUUCAUAGAUAAUCUGAUCAUAAAUCCACAAUUCAUCGGAUCUCGACAAACACACCGCAAAAGAAGAUUAGAUCGGAUAGAUCUCCAUGAAGAUCAUGGAGAACUUUGUAUUGAAGAUCCAAGANNGAGAAGAAGCCAUCUAGCUACUAGCUAUGGACCCGAAGGUGUGUGGUAAACUACUCACGCAUCAUCGGAGAGGCAAUGGUGUUGAUGAAGAAGCCCUCCGGUUCGAAUCCCUCCUCCGACAGGGCACCAAAACGUGCCCUAGAUGGGAUCUUGCGGAGAGAGAAGCUUGCGGCGGCGGAAAAGUAUUUUCGUGGCUCUCUCUCGUGGUUUCAGAUUUUUCGGGGAUUUAUAGGCGGAAGAAGUAGGGCAAAGGAGCCAUAGGGGGCCCACAAGCCUGCUAGGCACCCCCCAAGCCGCGGCUAGGGGGCUUGUGGCCUCCUCUCGUUCCCUUUGCCUUGGUUCUCAAGCUCCCUGCGUAUCUUCUGUUCCGGAAAAAAUAUUUUCGGAGGUUUUAUUCCGUUUGGACUCCUUUUGAUAUUCUCCUCUGAAAAAGGUCAAAAACAUGGAAAAAACAGGAACUGUCACUUGGCACUGAGUUAAUAAGUUAGUCCCCAAAAAGAUAUAAAAUGUAUACAAAACAUCCAAAGUUUGACAAGAUAAUAGCAUGGAACCAUCAAAAAUUAUAGAUACAUUGGAGACGUAUCAGCGCCCGACAGAGAUUUGAACACUAUUGGAAAAGAUUUGCUAUGAUGACUAGAUGACGUCAUUGGUGACUAGGAUGGCAUCAUGACCACGACAGUUGAAGAAAAAUACCAAGUCUUGAACAAGACAGCUGACCGAGAAAAAUAUUGACUCGGGUAAAUAUGUUCCUCACAAUAAUUGCCAUCUCAAAAGGCGACUCGUGCUAACCCUCACCUUUGAGGUUUUUUCUCUGUUUUUUAGGAUGAAGUUUAACAUGAAUAAAUUCAAAUUAAAUUGGGGGCUAAUUUUGUGGAUAUACCCCCAUAAAUUGGCCCGCCAUGGGGAUAACCCGCCUCGACUAUACCUUGGGUAGGAGGCCUUGGGUGCAAAGGUCCAACGGGUGACUCACCAAGAGGCCGGCUCAAGCCCAUCACAUGGAGGCUGGCUCAUUAAGGGAAACGUGGUGAUUCUUCCCCUCCCAAGUUAGUAAGAAAUAGAAGAGGACAUGGGUUACAAUAUUACUCGGACUCUAUCGUAGUCUUAGGGCCUCCACAUGCAUAUAUAAAGGGGGGCCCUUGAGGUGAAAAGAACAAGUAAGAAACACUCGAGAGCUAGGUUAGUGAUUCUGCACCCUUGUAAUCGAGAUCAUCAUCAUCAAUAGACACAAAAGAAUUAUGUAGGCUUUUACCUCCAUCGGAGGGGCCGAACCUGGGUAAAAUCGUGUCUUUGGUCUCACGACUAACCCCUUCAAGUCACCACCUAGUUGUGAUGGCUCCUAGACUUAGUUAUGUCACGAGGACAUCUGCCGCGACAAAACCACGACACUUUGCUUGUUUGCUUUCUUGAGAAAAAAAAAACAAAAACUCCAAAAUUAUUUCAGUGUGUUUCUCUGAAUUUCUCUUCUUUUCUUUGAGUCGUUGAAAGGAGAAAACCACGAUGAAAAUGUUGAGUGCCUCUCAUGUGCAUUAUUUUUUAUCUAACAAAGAGCCAAUAUUACCAUGUCUUCUCCUUUGCACAAAUCCCUUUCAGAUUCCAGCUUAGUCCACGACAUCCUUGCAGUGUUAUUAUUAUCACAUCAUUCGGUCGUGCAAGUGAAAGGCAAUAAUGACGAUAUUUGAUGAAGCGACCGUGGCAAAGGAAACUGGUAUGAACACUCCUUGUUUUCCAUUUUUGUAAAUAUGUUUAGCUCGUUCGAUCUUGAUUCAGUAUAUCAUGAGUGAACAUGUUUCUGAUGACAAUUAGAGAUUAUAUUUUCCCAUGUCAUGCUUACAUUGCUAGGAAUAGAUUAUGAUUUAUCUUAUGUGUCAACAUGCAUUAAAAUGGUUAUGAUGUGCUAUGGUAGUAUGGUAUUUCCCUCUGAGUAAUUCGAGCCGCUUGACUUGGCCCAUGUGCAAGCAUGUAGUUGACCAAUGCAGCCUUCAUGAUGAUUAAAUCCGGAGUGUUCAUAUGCUACUCAUGCUAAUGUCCAAUGUUAAUUAUUCGCAAUGCAUGCUUAUGACCAUUUUGCUAUCUAGCUUGUCGCUUCCAACUCUAUUGCUAGCCUUCACAUAUACUAACCGAGAAUGCUGCUUGUGCAUACAAAUCCUUAAACCAAGUUAUUCCACAUGAGUCCAUCAUACCUAGCUAUAUGCGGUAUUACCCUGUUGUUCCAAGUAAAUUUACAUGUGCCACUCCUAAAUAUUCAAACAAACAUUUGUUUUGUGCACUCGUACCGCUCAUGUAGUGACGGGGCGGUCGGUAUCUUCCAUGCUAAGUGACUUAUUCUCAGGAUGGUUUUUUAUUCGUCGUCAUUGCACGAGAGAGGUUGGUAAAAAGGAUGCUCGUUCUUGCAUAAUAAAAAAAAUUGAACAAAACUCCUUGGGACAGUUGAUAUGUUGGAGGGCCCCCGUGAAUUCGCCUAGCCGUGGCUUGUGAAUGGAUGGUGGAUAGGAGUAAACUUUACAAUUUUGUUUGGGAACCACCAAUAAUAAGUUUAGCAUGGAAGAUACUCAAAACCUUUGUUCUAACAUUGACAGUAAAGGACACCACUCAAAAACUAUAUUAUCAAUCCUUCUUUAAAACUUGAGAUCUGGCACCUCUCCAAAUCAAUGCUUCCCUCUGAGAAGAGCCUAUCUAUUUACUUUUAUGUUGAGUCAUCGCCCUCUCACUAAAAGCACCAGAACGGAGAGCGCUAUUGUCAUUCUUAUGCAUCUAUUCUAGUUAAUGUUGGAUGUGAGCAUGAAUUGGCUCUUUUCUACCCUGAGUUAUAAUGUUUAGUCGCUGCUUGAACCUGAAAGGUGCUCUACAUGUUUUGCGCUCUCAGAAAGGGCUAACGAGAUACCAUGUCGCCAUAUUAUAUCGUGAUUGUGUUGACAAAUUGUUGGCAUGUGAUAUAUCUUAUUAUUGCUUGCUAGUUGGUUAUGUAUUGCCAUAAUUGGAUAUGAUGCUUAUUUUUUAUCAUGGAUAUGAUUACUUAUGCUUUAUGCCAAAAACUUGAACACUACCUAAGCAUAUAUAUGGCAAUGAGAAUAAAAGAGUUCUUAAAAGUUUUCUUUAUCACUUUCAGUCUAUCAACUAAAUUGCUUGAGGGCAAGCAAUGAGUUAAGCUUGGGGAGUUGAUACGUCUCCGAUGAUCUAAUUUUCCAAACACUUUUACUCUAGUUUUGGACUCUAAUUUGCAUAAUUUGAAUGGAACUAACCCGGCCUCACGAUGUUUUCACGAGAACUACCUUAAUGUUAGUUUUCUGCAGAAAUUAAAGUUCUCAACAUUAGGCGAUACUUUUUUAUUAAUUAUUUCUGGAAUAUAUAAUGAAUCAUGGAGCAAAGAACCACCGAACGAGGGUUGCCUGUGCGCCACAGGCCAACAGGGCGAGCCAGCGCCUUAGGAGCACCCUGAUGUCUUGUGGGGCCCACGUGGCUCCUACGACCCUAAUUCCAGCCAUAUAAAUUCACAUCUUCGGAGAAACAAUUAUAGAGAAGAUUUCAUCGCAUUUUACAAGAUGGAGCCUCCACCACCGCCUGUUCUUCCUCGAGAGGGAUGAUCUGGAAUCCUUUGGGGGCUCCGGAGAGGGGGUUCAUCCCCAUCGUCAUCAUCAACCCUUCUUCAUCAACAAUUCCAUGAUGCUCACCAUCGGCUGUGAAUAAUUCCUUAGUACGCUCACUGGAUGGUAAUGAAGUUUGGAUGAGAUUGAUCAUGUAAUCGAGUUAAGUUUGAUAGGGCUUGAUCCCUAGUAUCCACUAUGUUCUGAGAUUGAUGUUUCUAUGACCUUGCUAUGCUUAAUGCUUGUCACCAGGGCCCGAGUGUCAAGCUUUCAGAUCGAAACUUAUUAUGUUCUCUCUAAAUAUGAAAAGUAUUUAGAUCCGAUCUUGCAAGUUCUAUGCACCUAUUAUGUGUUUUGAUCCCCAUACCCCAUCGUGACAAUAAUUGGGAUUAUUUCCGGUGAUUGUCGUAGUAUGAGGAGUUCAUGUAUUCACUAUGUGUUAAUGUUUUGUUCCUGUUGUCUAUUAAAAGGAGGCCUUAAUGUUCUAAGUUUCCAAUAUGACCCCGCUGCCACGGGAGGGUAGGUCAAAAGAUGUCAUGCAAUUACAUAUCACAAGCAUGUAUGACGAUAUACAGAAUACAUGCGUAUAAUAUAUUGAUGAAUUGGGGCUAGUUCUGUGUCGCUGUAGUGUGUAGUUGUUACAUGAUUGAUGGCAUCCAUAUCUUUCCAUCACUGAUCCAUGUGCCUAAGCUUUAGAAGUAUUGAAUCUUGAUGAGUUACAAUUUCUACCGUUAGAGUUGUUACCAAAAUUGUUGCCAUCACUAUUACUUCUACUACUAUCAUAUGUCGUGCUACUAAACCUUUGCUGCAGAGAGAUAACCCAGGUGUGGUUGAAUAUAAAACUCAACUAUCGAGGCCUAUCAAUAUUCUUUGGCUUUCCUUGUGUCGAAUCAAUAAAUUAGGAUGAAAUACUACUUGUGAAGACUCUCGUGAUCUCCUAUACUUGUGGGUUAUCAACCAGGGUGAGCCUCCACCGCGCCAUCAGCCUCCAUGUCGACGAGCGCACGUGGACGAUGGUGAGCACGGUCUGCACGCGCCCUUGCAUCUUGACGAAGCAGGCAACCAUCGCACCCGCUCAAAAACCACGGCAAAUGUUGUAAGAUUUUUCCAUGGCAAAAUAUAUUUUGGUAAGAUAGAAAAUUUUGCCAUGGGAAAUUUUGGGUUAGUGAUAUGACAAAUUUUCUACCGGUGACACGGCAAACGUAUAAAGAUUGUUAUCAUGCCAAAAAUAUUUAACAAAGUGUGUAUUGUUAUGAUAUUCGGUAAUAUGCCAAAAAAUGGCUUCAAAACAUUGCAAGAGUUUUAAGACUGUCGCAAUGGCAAAAUUGUCAUGCCGUUUUCGUAAUCUCACGAGGACCAUACUCACACUUAUUUCAUUUCGUCUGAAACAAAAUCGAGUCGCUCGAGAAUUGCCAUUUACACAACUGCCACCGCAAUCUUAGCCAUGGUGUUUGGCGUCGCAGUGGUGAGGGCUGACACUCCCGCUCCUCAUGUGGUUGCAGGUCCCGUAAAAAUCUCCCGGAGCUCGCGCACGUCUCUUCGGGGGUGGUUGCGCUGCACCACGCACCGAGGCAUGGACUAAGGGCCCUCGGAUAGCGACAGUGAGUUUGGGCUGGCCGUCGAGCUUGUUAGAAUCUGAUCCAUGCGGGGACAAUCGGGAUGAUGGAGGGAAGAUGAGUGAGAAGGGACAUGGACAUGGGGAGGAAAAGAGUGUGGAGAGAAGCCGUUGAGCGAAGAGAGGGACGAUACAUUACACAAAUUGUUUGCUCGGUUCGGUUGUUAUCCCGAACUUCGUAAAAAACUACAAUGACGACUAGACUUGCUUCAAAAUUCGUGCAAAUCAUCCAAAAGUUAGAAGGACAGCCCCAAAUGCCAAAAAUAAGAUGUUCGGGAUUUAUCUUUUCAGAUAUUCUAUAGUAUAUUAACCCAUGGUUACUUCUCAUAGUAGUAUGAUUAUCUAAAUAAUUGUUUACCAACUCAUGCAUAUGAUUUACCUAUCUACAUAUUUUUUAGAAUUCUAUUUGAUAAUCAGUUAUUUUUGAUAUUCUAUAGUAGUACUAUCUUGUCAAAGAAAACAUAACUUUGUUUGGCAAGUCAAUAAAUGACAAGAGGAAAGGAGGAUGUUGGACGAAGAACGUCUUUUUUUAAAGGUAAAUGCUUGCAGCCCGAGCGCCGGCCGAACCGAACCUCGCGGCUCGCGCGCCUGGCAGCAGCCAUGCAACAUUGUUUAUUACAGAUUUACUACAACCAUGUAUAAAUUUGAUACACUCGUCCACAUAUGCAACAUUUUUAAUGUAGAUUUGCUACAAACGCGGUUAACUUUGAUACAAGCAUUUUCUAUUUUGUUGCAACUUGUUCAUUAAAGAAGUUGCAUCCACGUUUGGUUGCAACUCGAGUUCGUUGAAUUUUUUUUCUACAACCGUGUUAAUUUUUGUCACAACCGGUAUCAUUUUUUGCUACAACCGUUCACUGCAUGUUCGUCAGAGUUGCAACCCGAGUUUACCGGAUUGUUUUGCUACAACCUUAUUUUUUGUUUUACUACCGCUCAUCAUCAAUUUCUUUUUGCUACGAGUACGUAGAUAUUUUUUUAGCUACAAUUUUUUUAUUGCAACCGUUGACGAAAUUGUUGCAUCAUAGAUAAAAGUUGUUACAUUGAGAAAAAAUUAUUGCACAAAGAUCUAACGACGUGACCCGCGUAUAGCUGGCGGAUCGGGCGGCCCGCGCGGCGGGCCGAACAGAGCAUUUCCCUUUAAAGAAGGAGAGAUACGGGUAUCCUAGAUCUAUCUUCGAAUCCGUUUGUGAACUGCACCGGUGGUCACUUUGUCCUGGCGGAAAUGAAAGUCGGGAACGGCUAGACGCCAUAAAUAGGGGGGCUGUGGUCACAAUCUUUUCGGCACCGAAACCUGCGUAUCCAUCGCUACCAAUACACGACCGACAACCUAGCACUGUACCGUAGUAUAGUAGCGUGCAACUUUGCGUGACAGUCCAUGGCAUCGGCAGUGCUUCUCCGCUACCUGGUGGUGCUACUCCUCGUAGUCGGCUGCCUCGGGAGGCCCGUCCCACCUUCUCCGGCGCCGAAUAUGGUCGAUGGCAUCACGGCGAUAUACAACUUUGGGGACUCCAUAUCGGACACCGGGAACUUCAUCCGGGAAGGCGCCGUCGGGCUGAUGGAGCACACCGGGAAGCUCCCCUACGGCUCCGCCAUCGGCGGCGCCACCGGGCGAUGCUCUGACGGCUACCUCAUGAUCGACUUCCUCGCCCAGGAUCUUGGACUGCCGUUGCUGAGCCCGUACCUCGACAGGGGCGCCGACUUCACGCACGGCGUCAACUUCGCCGUCACGGGCGCCACCGCCCUCGACACGGCGGACCUCGCCAGGAUAGGGCUCCACAUGACCCACACCAACAGCUCCCUCUCUGUCCAGCUCCAACGCUUCAAGGACUUCAUGGCCAGCACCACCAAAACCCCUUCGGAGAUGCGCGACAAGCUGGCGAGCUCACUGGUCUUGGUCGGAGAGAUCGGCGGGAACGACUACAACUACGCCUUCGCCAUGAACAGCCCUCAGCCCAACGGCGGCCUCUACAACAUCGGGCACAUGAUAACCGGCGCGGUGGAGUCGCUGGUCCUCGUCCCGCAGGUCGUCAAGUCCAUCACGGCCGCAGCCAAGGAGCUGCUCGACAUGGGCGCCACGCGGAUGGUGAUCCCGGGCAACUUCCCGCUUGGCUGCGUGCCCAGCUACCUCGAGGCCGUGAACGAGACGGACCCGGCGGCGUACGACGGCAACGGCUGCCUCAUGGGGCUCAACCUCUUCACGCAGAUGCACAACGUGCUGCUGCUGCAGGGCAUCCGGGAGCUGCGCAAGAUCUACCCGUCCGCGACCAUCGCCUACGCCGACUACUUCUCAGCCUACGUGCAGAUGCUCAGGGGCGCGUCCAAGAUGGGAUUCGACGCGGCGGCCGCGACCAAGGCGUGCUGCGGCGUUGGCGGCGGCGCGUACAACUUCGACAUGGACAGGAUCUGCGGCGCGCCGGGGACGGCGGUGUGCGCGAGGCCGGAAGAGUACCUUAGCUGGGACGGCGUCCACCUGACGCAGCAUGCAUACAAGGUCAUGAGCGAGCUGCUCUACCGCCGAGGCCUCGCGUCUCCUGCGCCGGUGAAUUUCCCGCGCGUGUAGAUGGAUAGCAUGUGGUUGGUUGUCGAGUUUCGAC
rnacentral:lncRNA from 1 species